rnacentral:rRNA from 1 species
UACGUAGGGGGGCAAGCGUUGUCCGGAAUCAUUGGGCGUAAAGAGCGUGUAGGCGGCUUGGUAAGUCCGCUGUGAAAGUCCAGGGCUCAACCCUGGAAUGCCGGUGGAAACUGUCAAGCUUGAGUCCGGAAGAGGCGAGUGGAAUUCCUGGUGUAGCGGUGAAAUGCGCAGAUAUCAGGAGGAACACCAAUGGCGAAGGCAGCUCGCUGGGACGAUACUGACGCUGAGACGCGAAAGCGUGGGGAGCAAACAGG